rnacentral:rRNA from 1 species
AUUGAACGCUGGCGGCAGGCUUAACACAUGCAAGUCGAGCGGAGAUGAGGUGCUUGCACCUUAUCUUAGCGGCGGACGGGUGAGUAAUGCUUAGGAAUCUGCCUAUUAGUGGGGGACAACAUUCCGAAAGGAAUGCUAAUACCGCAUACGCCCUACGGGGGAAAGCAGGGGAUCUUCGGACCUUGCGCUAAUAGAUGAGCCUAAGUCGGAUUAGCUAGUUGGUGGGGUAAAGGCCUACCAAGGCGACGAUCUGUAGCGGGUCUGAGAGGAUGAUCCGCCACACUGGGACUGAGACACGGCCCAGACUCCUACGGGAGGCAGCAGUGGGGAAUAUUGGACAAUGGGCGGAAGCCUGAUCCAGCCAUGCCGCGUGUGUGAAGAAGGCCUUUUGGUUGUAAAGCACUUUAGGCGAGGAGGAGGCUACCUGGAUUAAUACUCUAGGAUAGUGGACGUUACUCGCAGAAUAAGCACCGGCUAACUCUGUGCCAGCAGCCGCUGUAACAC